GUAGCCGGCCAGGUAAGUCCCUUGGGAAAUCUGGCAGCUCAACUGUCAGGCUGCUAGGGGAUACUGUUUGGCUUGGGACCGGGAGAGGUGAGAGGUACCUUGGGGGUAGGGGUGAAAUCUUGUGAUCCUCGAGGGACCACCAGUGGCGAAGGCGUCUCACCAGAACGGGUCCGACGGUAAGGGACGAAAGCUAGGGGCACGAACCGGAUUAGAUACCCGGGUAGUCCUAGCCGUAAACGAUGCUCGCUAGGUGUCAGUCACGGUGCGACCGUGAUUGGUGCCGUAGGGAAGCCGUGAAGCGAGCCACCUGGGAAGUAUGGCCGCAAGGCUGAAACUUAAAGGAAUUGGCGGGGGAGCACUACAACGGGUGGAGCCUGCGGUUUAAUUGGAUUCAACGCCGGAAAUCUCACCGGGGGCGACAGCGAUAUGAAGGUCAGGCUGAAGACUUUACCGGAUUAGCUGAGAGGUGGUGCAUGGCCGUCGUCAGUUCGUACUGUGAAGCAUCCUGUUAAGUCAGGUAACGAGCGAGACCCNNNNNNNNAUNNCNNNNNNNNNNNNNNNNUNUCCGGUUGAUCCUGCCAGAGGUUACUGCUAUCGAGAUUCGACUAAGCCAUGCGAGUUGAAUGUUCUUCGUGAACAUGGCGGACUGCUCAGUAACACGUGGACAACCUACCCUUGGGUCCGGCAUAAUCCUGGGAAACUGGGAAUAAUUCCGGAUAGGUCACCGAUGCUGGAAUGCGCGGUGGCCGAAAGCUCCGGCGCCCGAGGAUGGGUCUGCGGCCUAUCAGGGUUGUAGUGGGUGUAACGUACCUACUAGCCUACGACGGGUACGGGUUGUGAGAGCAAGAGCCCGGAGAUGGAUUCUGAGACACGAAUCCAGGCCCUACGGGGUGCAGCAGGCGCGAAAACUUUACAAUGCGGGAAACCGUGAUAAGGGGAUCUCGAGUGCCAGCAUAUAAUGUUGGCUGUCCAGAUGCCUAAAAAGCAUCUGUUAGCAAGGGCCGGGCAAGACCGGUGCCAGCCGCCGCGGUAACACCGGCGGCCCGAGUG
rnacentral:rRNA from 1 species